ensembl:lncRNA TMEM198B transmembrane protein 198B (pseudogene)
ACAAACACAAACACACACCCCAACACACACGCCCUGUCCCCUUUCUCCACCCUGCAAGCUAGUUGCAUUUAGCUCACAGAGCCUGGGCUGCGACUUGAAAGAGUUUAGGCAGCAACAGAGUGACCCUGGGGGUGCUCUUGACCGACAGCCGCACCCCCGGCGUCUAGGACCUCCGAGCAGGGAUGCAUCUGGAGGUCUAGGGAAGCACUUCCACCCCCUCCUCUCCUCAAUCCUGGCAGGAUGUGCCCGAAAUGCCAGCUCCUCCUUGGUGUUCUCCUUUCAGGAUUUGAAUUCAAAUCCCAUUGGCAGCCCUGAUACCGCUGGGGGAAGGGUGAGGCUACUGCUGCUUCAAGACAGUGACGUUUCUCUCCGGUCAGCUGUCAGGAGCGCUGGUGAGCUUCCUACUGUGCCACAAGGUGCGGGUGCUGGAGACACAGCUGAGCCUGGAAAUGAGAGUGGGCAUCGCCGUGGUCAUCAUGACUCCUCUGCGGCGUGGUCACCAUGUUGGUUCACUGUGUUGGGCUCUUAUUGACGGGUCUCCUGCUAGGCCUGACCUUGGGUGCCGGAGCCCUGCUGGCUUCUGAGCCUAUCUACCAACCACCUUCAGCCUGGGUGCCAGCUGGGGGGCUGGUGGGGCUGGCGCUGCUGGGAGCCCUGCUCACACUUCGGUGGCCACGUCCAUUCACAGUUCUGGGCACAACCCUGCUGGGUUCUGCAGUGCUUGUGGCCUGUGUUGACUACUUCCUGGAGGGGCUGGCACUGGGGAGUUGGCUGGGCCAACGCCUGCAGACACUUCCAGCCUUGCCUUCUCUCUGCUGAUAUAGCUGGGUCUUACUGGGGAUCUGGCCAGCCUUGGGGGCCCUUGGAGCCCUGGCCCAGUGGAAGCUCGUGCCUGAGGAACAUGGAGGCCACGCUAAUGAGUUACUUCCAGAGUCUUCAAGAGUGCCAACUGGGACCAGGACCCCAGACCACAGCCCCCCACACCGUCCUGGACCUGGAUUCUGACUGUGGUUCCACUGUACCCCUCACCUUAAUCUCUGGUUCUAACCAGACCUGAGCCUAGACUUCCACUUUUUCCCUUACCCCUGUGAGGGCCUGGGAACACUAGGUGGGCAGGGUUUGAGCCCACAGGACCUGCACACAAACUUCCCCACCUCUUGGACUUGGGGACAGGAUCUGUGCCUCAACCCAGACCAGCUUUGUAGGGAUAUGUUCCAAGAACAGAGAAGAGUCUUAUGGGGAAGGGGGAGGAAGGGAAGUAUGAAUAUUUACCUCUGACCAAUAAUAGAGGUGCCCUGGUCCCCAAAGAAAUUGACUCCCGAAUUCCCUCCAAGCCUUACCCAUAUAGCUUUUGUUUGUUUGUUUGUUUUCAGACAAGGUCUUGUUCUGUCCAGUGCCGUGGCGUGACCACAGCUCAUGACAACUUUGAUUUCCCCGGCCCAAGCGAGCCUCUCAUUCAGCCUCCUGAGUGGCUGGGACCACAGACGCCACACACAGCUAAUUUUUAUGUAUUCGUUUUUAUUUUUUUGCAGAGACAGGGUCUCCCUAUGUUGCCCAAGCUGGUCUUGAACUCCUGGGCUCAAGUGAUCCUCCUGCUUCAGCCUCCCAAAGUGCUAGGAUUAUAGCCACCGCACCUCGUCUUGAAAUAGCCUUUUAAAUGUUCACCUCAGCUUGCCUCACAGUGGUAAAAAUAAGCAUUUUUUUGUUUUGUAGGAUCAGGGAGCUUCCAAGGCAUUUGAUACCUUUUUGAUGGGAAGAAGGGCUCUGAGGAGCUCCAAGAUACCCCAACCUCCAGGCCCUUCAUUAGGGGGUAGUUGGGUUUCUGUUUGGCCUUUCCCCCUGGGCCCCAUAGGCUUAAACUACCCCCACCCCCACCUCCGCCUCCUACCUCAGCUGGGAGCACUGUCUUCCAUGGGGCUUCCACUUCUCUCCUCAACCUGGGGAAGACCACAGGGCAGUGCCUGCCUCAGGACCUGCCUUCCCCAAAAGCUGGCUUCUUGCUCCAAGGAGAGAGCAUUGACCCACCUGCCAGAGUCUUGCCUUUUGCCCAAAGGAGCCUGGUCUUCAGGGCUGCAUAGGAUGCAAGUGCCUUCUCUGCUUCUCACCGUGGGUGGCACUAAUUUCCUCCUUAACCAGAACUUUGUUCCAGCCACUGACCCAUUCUAACUCUUCCCCCUCUGACUCUCCUGCGCAGGGUCUGUUCCUGGUUUCCCAGAUGCAUAAAGGAAGACAUAUCCCUCCCCUGGGCAGCAAGGCUACAAUGGGAGGGAGGGAGAACAUGGGAGCAUGUGAAUAAAAUGGCAUUAAAUACUGAA